UACAGAGGGUGCGAGCGUCAAUCGGAUUUACUGGGCGUAAAGCGCGCGUAGGUGGCUAAUUAAGUCAAAUGUGAAAUCCCCGAGCUUAACUUGGGAAUUGCAUUCGAUACUGGUUAGCUAGAGUACGGUAGAGGGUGGUGGAAUUUCCUGUGUAGCGGUGAAAUGCGUAGAUAUAGGAAGGAACAUCAGUGGCGAAGGCGACCACCUGGACGGCCACUGACGCUGAGGCUCGAAAGCUGGGGGAGCAAACAGG
rnacentral:rRNA from 1 species